UCAGGAAGAAGCGAAGUCUGAACAUGUUGAGGAAAAAGAAGUUGAAACAGUGGAGCAAGAUGUUCCGAAUCCAGUUAAGGAGUAUGAUGAUGAAGAAGAUGAUUUCAUGAAAUGGAGUCAGUAUACGAGUGAAGUGUGAAUGAUGUUAAGUUUCAGUUAAUCUAUAUUCUCCUGCCACAAGGGAUCUUUACAUCUCUUUUGUUAAAUUCCUUUUUGAACUCGGGCCAACAAUAUGGUGUACUUGAGAUAAUCAUUUCAACGGAAUAUAGCAAAAGGGCCAAGUGUUAUUAAUAUGUAGUGACAAUGUAAAGAAAAUUUGUUCUGAUACGUCAGUUUAAUAGUGUAG
rnacentral:misc_RNA from 1 species